ensembl:lncRNA
CUUCGGUAUCCCUGGAAAUAGGGCAAAUUCUUCUGAGCUGGGUCUCCACAUGCCAUUCGUGGGACUGUACUGCACUGCUGUCUCUAAUCAAGAGGAGCACUUCUGUAAUGGGUUCUGACACUAUUUAUCAAAUCCAUAGCUCUUGCUAUGCUGCGUCCCGCAGAAAUGAAGGUUUCAUCGCUCUAAGAGUUCAUUCUGAGGAUGACAGCUUCCAAGAUGUCUCAAAAAGAUAACACCAAACUCUUCUUGGGCUCACUGGGAGAGAAUUCUGACCUCUGAAGAAGUGAGUAAAGAAACAGAGAAUUGGGAAGAACUUUCUUUGUGUGGGGAAGAUUGUGAACUGCUGAUAGAAGACACUGUGCUUCAUUGAAGUGUAAAAGUUUUCAUUUGUUCCUGCUGAACUGAGAGCAGCCAAAGACCUGGUGAUCAAGCCAGAACCUAAGUUAGUAAACCAGAGCCAAAUCUGCUGUUGUGAUAGCAGCUAAAUUCUUCGUGGUGAUUUGCGGCUUCACAGAACGGAAGUUUCUUGCAAAAAUAAGUGAGGAUCACUUAUACUUAAUUCAGGAGUGAGGUCCAGUGAUCUCAGCUGAAUCAUCAAGAAACUUUUACAGCUACUGGAGAAAAUUCCACUCAUCAACUGUGGUGGAUACCGGAGUUUUACCAUUAGGCUGAAUGGAGACAAACUGAAAGUCAACCAAACUAUGAAUCUGUCACACUGGACAUUUCUUGACCACUGAGAACAGUGUGGAAAUGCCCCACAGCCAAGGUACUAGGAAACUAAGCAAGCACCGACAGCCCGAGCCCCAGAGGCUACUGUAGAUACCAUAAUAACCCUAAAGUUAUAAGGAGAGAAAGAUUGAAGUGUUUUGGCUUGGUUGGAAAACUGAACUAGUUUGCCAGAGGGAAAGCGGAGGAAACUAGAACAUUUUCCCAAAGAGAAGAACCUGUAGAUGCUUCAUGAACCAAAGACUUCCAUUGCGCCAGGUAGCUGUGAGAGGAGUUGCUGCAUGACAGAGAAUGUGAACGAUGCUAUGAAACUGCAACAGCAGCAAUAAUACAUGAGCUGUCUUUGAGCUCAUGUAACUUCAUGGAGAGGACUGCUCGCGCUGUAGGAGGUGAGCACCAGGCUGCCUUCUUGCCUCACCUCCGAGUGCCCCUUUCCAGUAGGCAAGCACCUGUGGAGGCCAACGCCAGCUGCAAGUGCCUGGACAGCAAGCAGUGCAAAUAACAUGGAAACCUAUUGGCUUUUUGCUUCUUUUUAUGGCCAAAAAUGGGUGAUACCUGAGGGACCGUUUUGUAUCAGCCAAUUUUCUUUUUCUACAUCAGUGAAAGGUGCUGUAAGGAGAAUCAUUAUGAAUUUGGCCAGCUCCAUCAGGAAAGGCAUCAAAUAGAUCUUGUCUGGUUUAACUCCCUGAACUCCCUGAGGCAGUGUUUCCUCAGCAAAACUACAAUUGAUGUUGCUGCUGAAUAAGGACUUUGGGAUUGCGUCAUAGGAUAAACUCCAAAUAGCCCUCCAGCUUUAACCAGUAGACAAGUAAGAGGAGAAACUGCCCCACACUUCCUGAGCAAAACUACUUUUGCCCCAGCAUGUGCCUGUGUGAGAAGGGAUGUCAGAUACUGAAGAAUAUCUGAUCUCUUUUUGGCAGGAAGCUAACCAGUCACAGACCACAGGAGCCCUGUGUCUACUAGAUGAGUCAGCCAAAAUCCAGAUCUUAGCCUCAUACUGCUGGGAUUCACAUUUGCAGCAAAGGUGCGAGCAGAAUGGCAGAUUUACAUCUCUAAAAAUUUGCCCCUGGUCUGAGCUGCUUGGGAACAGCUUCCUCCCUUUCAUGACAGCUGCACUGCAGAACCUUGAGAAGGACCUUGAGAGGCAGAUUUUGCAACUGCUCAUGCUGCCUGGGCGAGGGGUCAAGACCUGCCUUUUUCAAACAGUGGGCGAAGCACUAGGAUAGCAUCCAGCUCUUGUCACACUUGAGAUGAGUUGUUCCAGCCCUUGCCAACUCUGUGUGUCUCCAUGACAUCCCACAAGGCAGGGGAGCAGUGCCUGGACUACCACAACACACAGGAAGACUGUUCAAGGUUUUCCUCAUGUAUGUAGGAAUGCUGCUGCCACACCAGGGACACUACAGCCUGCCUGAAGGAAGGAACACUUCUCAGCAACACAAGGAAAUAAAGAAUGAGACUUUCCACUUGGAAAGUUCUCUAUUGUGGGAUUACCAGAGCCCACGCCUCUCCUGCUUUAAGAAGUGGUGGUUCCAAGGACUAAGAGGAAGCCAUGGACAUUGCUAAGAGUUGAGGGCUGAUGUUUUUCUGCUCGGAAACUGCUGAGUUCAUGGAGUCUGGAGCUCAGAGACAUAUGGCUGAGAAAGACCUCUGAUGGUAUUUCUGAGCAUAACUUCCCAAGCGCCUAGUCCUACAAGUUAAGAUCUUAAAAGCUUGAAGCACAUACUAGGCUACAACAGAUCAUCCAAGGAUAUAAGGGAGGACUUUGGUGCUCCAUUUUAGUUUUUGAUUUUUCCUUAUUGGAGGAAGAUUGUCUUGUGAUGUUCUGUCCCGGUGAAACAGCUGAGUUCUGAGAUCCUGGCUCUAUUUGGAGACAAGCCAAGGAGAUCAGAGCAAGAGUGCCUUUAGGGUUCUUGACUGCCUAAGGCCAAACACUGACAAAGGAGUAAAAGUGGUUCUAGAAGUUUCUGUAUAAGGCUGUGACUAAACACCACUACAAGCAAAAGACACGGAAGUGCCUGAGAAGGCAGGUACUGGGUAUACUAGGAUAUACUAGGAUGUCACGUUUAGAGAAACAAAAAGAACGUGCCAGCAUUCAUAAGCAUUUGAAGAACAGUGUGAAUCCCCCUCCUGUUUGCUUUAAGGCUUUAGUGUUGAUGAUGUAAGUCAGGAGGAUUAGCAGCUGGGAGAUGAAGCAGGUGAAAGUACCAGCCAGGCACUGUGAGCUGAUCAUAAUGGUGGUGAAACCAAGGGCAUCCAGUCCACUGUGCAGUACCGUUGUGGUCUGGGCCUUCUGAGGGGACUAUAGGAGCAGUGCUUGGGGUGCAGGUGGAGCAGGUUUAUAAGGAGAAAACAUCAAUAUGGUCUGUCUAGCACAUGCCUCACCACCACCUAUGCUAGUGCUAUAAAAGAUGUGAUUUCCCAUGACUACAACACCAAGUUCAAUUCCAAUUCAGUCCCAAGCACUAGGCAGAAUGGUGGUAAUCACAUUAGCACACCGACCCUACAGUUGGGUUGCAAGUUCAUGUUUCUUACCUGGGGCAGCUGGUCUUCUUUGCAACAUAGUAAGUAGAAUGGGAAACAUCUGGUCUUGUCAUUAGCCUUGGGCCCAUUGUUACCUCCCCUGCAGGAGCCACUUGCCAUGGCUUUCCCCCUGCACUGUUGAGGGCACUGCCACAGUUAUUGCCUCUACUCUUGCCAAGGCUCUCUAAAGCAUGACUGGGAGUUAUACUUCCUUCAUGACAUGAUGGAGGUUAAUGCAGGCUUCAAACCUUCAUGGAUGAAUCAAACAGCUGAGCAGAAAAAGCCGACAUAAAUAUUUGCAGUCCUAGCAGAGUUUGCGUGGGAAGAAGAAUGCGUAGAAGAUGAUGCAGUAGAAACGAUAUAUGGACAAAGACUUCAAGAAAGAAAAUGAGUUCUUUGUUGAAGUUGCUGGAUGGAUAUUCCUUUUUAUCUUCACAAGUCCUGGAGGAACAGCAGUGGAUUCCCUGCCUUAUUUCAUCUCCUGGUCUGAUCCAUUAUGUCAACCUUAUGCAUAAGAAGCAGCUCUGUUUCAUCAUUACCAUCCUUUUCUGUUGAAAUUCUACAUCGUUAGGAGUGGUUAGCCAUUGAGUAGAACAGUAUCUACUUGCUACAAAGCACUUGAAUAUGGUCUGCUCAAAUGGAAUACGUAGAAAAAUCCUCUUGUCAGAAUGACUACAAAAAUGUUGACUUUUAAAGCCAUUCUGGAUUUCAAAUACAACCUUACAGCUACAAUGCAAUAACCAACAACUUCUUCCACACUAGCAGCUUGACGAUCAUUUGUACUGCGGUACGAACUGAAGAAAGAAAUUGAAAAUAACCGGGUGAGAUCAAAUAGCGCUUCCCAAUUACUUCGGAACUUCUCACUUAGAAAAGGAGAUGAAUGGUUACGCGUUACACUGUAAAAAGCUUUCGGAUAAUCUUCUUACUCUUUUACCAACAGUGCUGCCUUCCCCGCGUCUCUUCCUAAAGAAAGAACGCCGCCUGUUAAUUGAAGCUCGCAUCGAAAAGAAAACGGUUUUCACAGUAAAAUGCUCUUUUGAGAGGGAAAAAAAAAGUUCAUUUUCCUCGGGAAGGGGCAGAGAUGUGAGCGAGCCUCAGCCUGCCCGCUCCGUGCCACCGACCCUACUGAAGGGGGGAAAAAAGGUGUAAAAAAAGAAUAAUAAAAAUAACCUUUCCGUCUUUUUUUUUUUUUUUCGGAGAGCCCCCGGGGUUGCAAUAAAAAAAC